CAGUCGCCGCGGGAAUACGUAGGUGGCAAGCGUUGUCCGGAAUUAUUGGGCGUAAAGGGCUCGCAGGCGGUUUCUUAAGCCUGAUGUGAAAGCCCCCGGCUCAACCGGGGAGGGUCAUUGGAAACUGGGAAACUUGAGUGCAGAAGAGGAGAGUGGAAUUCCACGUGUAGCGGUGAAAUGCGUAGAGAUGUGGAGGAACACCAGUGGCGAAGGCGACUCUCUGGUCUGUAACUGACGCUGAGGUGCGAAAGCGUGGGGAGCGAACAGGAUUAGAUACCCCAGUAGUCCCUGUCUCUUAUAC
rnacentral:rRNA from 1 species